AAUCUCUGGCAUAGAUUUAACUCAUAAAAUUAUUGUUAUUUACACUUCUUUGGCAUCUUUUAAAUAGGAUCUUAGAGCAGAUUGUGAAGAGUUCAUUUUUUUUAUUAUUGUCAUGAAAAAGCUCCGCAAUGGACUAAAGAGAUUAUUUUGUAUGUUAAACAAUGCUUUCAACUUACUCUGUAGCUAUUGAAACUGUCAUGUCAACAUUAAGACACAUAGAAUGUUAGCAAAUCUGUGUCUCCUAAAAAAAAAUCCAACAAAGUAUCUACAUAUUUUCUAACAAAUAGUUUAAAAUGAUACUUUUUACUAUUAAAACAAGCUUCUUAUACUAACCACUUAAAAGACAGUGAGCCAGUGAAUUAAUCUUUUUAGUCCUCAUUUUCCUCUUCUAUAUUUAUUAGUUCAGUAAGCUCAUUGCUGAAAAUUUUGCAGGGCUUUCUGAUUCUUUUUCUCCUUAUAUUUCACUAGCAUUUUCAAAUUACAACACUGGCAACGUAACCAUCUCUCCAAGUCUCAGGAACAGAUUAGGUGUACCCCAUAUACUUGCAGAGCAUCCUGUUAUAAUCCUGUUCCUCUUUUAUAUAAUUUAUCAUAUAAAAUGAGUAUCUGCAUGUUUAACAGGUUAGUCUUUUACUCCAAAGCAGAUGAUACAUUAUUUAAGGAAAAGAAUUUAUGUUAUUCAGAGGUAUUGAGGUUAAAGCACUCUAAAAAUAUUAAGUUGAUUUUAUUUAUAUUAUUUUUGCAAAAUUGUACUAUGUAUUUGUAUUUGAAUGUAAGGCUUCAUUAAGAUAGUUUAAAACUUACAUGGUUAUAUAUCUCUAUGCCCAUCAUAAAGAACUGGUAAUAUAAUACUACUGUAGACAAUCGGUAACUGUUUACUUGAGAAUGGAGAUUAUGAUUAUUUUCCUAACACAGGACGACAUUUCAUAUAAUAUUUCAAAAUAAAUUGCUAAAAAUUAUUUUAAAAAUAAGUAAACUCUAUAGUAAAUGAUUACUUUUAUAUUAGAUAUGGAGAGUGACUGUGGUAAAGGAUGACAAGAAGUCUAAACUGAGAAACAUUACUUGAUUUGAGAGAGCAAGGGGAAUUCUAUGAGAGAGGUCCCACCUUAAGAAUCAAAUUUUUGCAAUAUAACAUUUGAAUGUUAUAAUAAAAUAAUAAUGAGGAUAUUGGAAUGUACUUACUGCAAGUAAAAAAUGAGAACUAUGGGGAUAAUUUAAAGGUCACAAGUAAUCAUGACUCAGAAAGAUAUAUGAUCACUAUAUGCCUGGAGCUAUCAAAGGGUGAUGUCAUAAAAUUUGACAACUCUUGGUCCAAGCAACUGAGCUCACCUAUGUAAAGUAUAGCACACCAAAGCCCAUUUACAAAAGCUAAUUCCAUUUAUCACUGAGGGAAUUUUGUCACUUUUGUUUUAAUUUUUCCAUAUAAAUUCUUCUAAGGGGACUGAUUUUUCUUAUUAAUUACAUGCAUUCCAACCCAAACAAUAUCCGAAAGACAAAAGUGAAGAUUGAGUAUAUACAUUAAGUAAAGCACAAAGAGUUACAAAUCAGGGUCAGCUUUUAAAAUGAGAGCAGUAGGUGACUGUUCCACUUUUGGGUCGGUCUUGGUAUUCUAUUUCCACUAACAGUAGAAGACUUGGUGGUCAGUUGAUUGUCACGUUUUUUUAGGACCACACCCAUAGCAUAUGGAAGGUCCCAUGCUAGGGGUCAGAGCUUCAGCUGUCUGCCCAUGCCACAGCCACAGCAAUGCCAGAUCCAACUGCAACACUGGAUCUUUAACCCACUGAAUGGGGCCAGGGAUCAAACCUGCACCUUCAUGGAUACCAGGAACUCCAUAUGGAGUGGGAUAGCCAAAAAAAAAAAAAAAAAAAAAAAAAACAGGAAAACAAAACAAAACCUUAAUCUCAUUCAUUUAGUAUUGAUUCAAUUACAUUUGAUCUCAUUCAGAAUCUCAGGAACCAAAUCUAAGUGAAAUUGUGAUGGUGGUGAUUUAUCUUUGGUAAUAUGGUUAUAUCCCUAUUUUACUAUACAUUUCUACCAAGACUUUUAAUGGUGUAGUACAUAGAAAUUAGGCAUUGAAGAAAAUAUUUCUGAGGAUUUAAAUACUGCCUCAAUGCCUUAUUAGUUUUUGAUCUUGGAUAUAUUCCCUGAGGCAACUGAAACUGAGCCUACUCUUCUAUAAAGUGGUGACAAUAAUGCUUUCCUACAAACUGGGAUAUUGUAGAAGUAAGCAAGAUAACCUUUAUGAAGCACCUAGUAGCAUGAUGGACACAUCUUAAGUCCUCAGUAAAUGGAACAAUCGAAUUGACUUCCCCAAAAGGACUUACUUUUAACAUUUAAUUCUCCGCUAGAUGUAUCUGUAUUUCACUGACUGCUUUUAAAAAUUGUGAAAAAUUUCAAAACACUAAAGGAGCAUGAUGUAAUAGUCAGAGCUGCACAUUCAAAACUUAAGACCAGCCCUUACUAGGUUUUAUCACAUCAGAUGAGAACUUGAACCUCAGCUCCUUAUCUAUAGAUUGAGGCUAACAGGAUUAUUACAGAGCCAAGAUCUAUGAGUUUGUGUUUAUCUGUCUGAAAAAAAAAAAAAAAUUUCAGUAGGCAUCAGCUUCUCUUCCAAUUGCUGCAAUGGGACUAUUUCAGGCAAACUUGCUAUCCUUCAUCACAAGUGUGUGUCAACUACGUCUAGUAUGAUUGCUCUUGCAGCUCCCCCUGGAAGAUAGUGCAAUUCUUGGAGGAAUUUGCCUUUUGCAGGUGAGGGCAAAUAGAGCUACAUCAUCAUUUUUAAUACAUCUCUCCAGGCAGCACAUACUCAUUCAUAAGAAUUGGCUUACAAAUUAUAAGGCCUAUGCUCUUCCUCUAGAAUGAGAAGAAAAUUCAAAUGAUAUCAAUGAAGAGACAGUUAAAUAAGUGAAGCCUAAUGGGGAGAAAGAUGAACAAUGGUAAUGAAGAUUCAAGUGAUGAGACUUGAGACUCAAUGACCUCAAGUGAUGGGAAUAAUAGGCAGUGAUAGGGACCAUUUGAAUUUGAGGGAAUCUGCACUAGAGUGGUAGGUAAAGCUGAAUUCUAGAUGUUUUUUGCAGUCCUUCAAGAAGGAGGGUUGCAUUGCUGGUUCAUCAAAGCAUUCAGGUGAAGCUAAAAUUUCUUAAUUCUUAAGUGCUGGCAGCUAAUUCAGACUUAAAACACUACCGGACCAAAUUAUAAAUAAGCCUAUGGGCUGUAUUCAGAUCUCAGGCAGAAACUAAUAUCUUUGUAAGCACAAGCAGCUAAAAUAUAAAAAACAGAGAGUCACUCAUCUAGCAAAACUCUGUUCCUUUCACUUCAGGAAACUCAAAAUAAUUUCUAAAAUUUUUUGUUUAAGAAUAAAUCAGAGGGAGGAAAUCAGGCAACUGUGGUUACUUUAUACAGACAUACCAAAAAAUGGAAGCAUGGGAAAAUAAGAAUUAAAAGUUAUUCCUAUUAAGAUUUUUUUUCCCACAGCGAUAUUUUUGAAUAAGUAGAAUUUGCAAAUUGUUAUAGAGAAAUAACUGGAAGUAGGACUGCCAGGUAGGGAACUAUAUCACCCGAGAAGUGUAGUUAUUGAAUCCACCUUCCUGUGAAAAGUCUUAAAGUAGAAAAUGUAGGGGUGAAUAGCUUAGCCCCUUGAAAGAUAUAUCCUUUAAGAUCAGCAAAUUAUAUAUAUUUUUCCACCUGCCACCCUGAUUCACAGUAUAGGGACUCAGGGCGCAUCUGUCAGUACUUAGCUCCAUUUUCCCCUCUGCGGCCUCACUGCAGGAGUUUUACAAGAUGGAAAAUUCACUUAGGCUACCUGCUCCAGAUAAAAGUCUGGAUUGGUGAACUAAAAUCCCAAGAGCCUCUGGUACAUACUUCAGUUCGACAGAGAAAAAUUUUAACUGCACUUGAAAGAAAAUGACCCUGGAAAAUAGGUUAGCAAGGCAGCAGGAAGUGUGUGCCUGGAUAUGUUUUGAAUUUUGAAUUCUAAGUACUCUUUAUAGGCAGAAAAUGCUGUUUUAUGCCUCUAGCUAUAAGACAAAAAUAAAACAGAACCCUGCCACCCUCUUAUCAAACCAUAAACUUCCUCCAAGAGGCUUGAUCUGUAGAGUAGCAUGCAUGAAUUAUUUGUGCUUUAAAAAACAUUUUGAACAAAAGCAAAAGCUGACUCUUUCCAACAAUUUAAAGAACAGGUUUUCCUUGUCAGAUGAAACUAUUUUUAAAAGGGGUAAAAAAUUAACAAUAUGUGUAAUUUAUAGACCUUAAAUUUUAAAAUUAAUGAAUUCAUGUUAUUAUUUUAUUUUUAAAUUGAAGAAAAAAUUAAAAUAUCUUUAAUAUCUCGUAGACCAUAUGUCUGCAUGACCAAAUGUUGAUUAAAUUAAAAGGAAUAUUUAUUUGUGGGAACAUUAAAUAUCUCUCUUACAUACACAUACACUCCAAGUAUACAUGCAAUUUGUCCUUGUGUACUUAUAUAUAAAAUGUUGAUUUUGGAAUAUACUACUCUUAGUAGAUAGCCAGAGAAUACAUAGAUGGAUACAUACAUAAAUGCACACAUACUUGCAUGUAUAAGGAGAGUGCAUAGGUAGGGAGGGAUUUUAUUGUUUAAUAUAAGGAUU
rnacentral:lncRNA from 1 species